AUUGAACGCUGGCGGCAGGCUUAACACAUGCAAGUCGAACGAUGAAACUCUAGCUUGCUAGAUAUGAUUAGUGGCGGACGGGUGAGUAACAUUUAGGAAUCUGCCUAGUAGUGGGGGAUAGCUCGGGGAAACUCGAAUUAAUACCGCAUACGACCUACGGGUGAAAGGGGGCGCAAGCUCUUGCUAUUAGAUGAGCCUAAAUCAGAUUAGCUAGUUGGUGGGGUAAAGGCCUACCAAGGCGACGAUCUGUAACUGGUCUGAGAGGAUGAUCAGUCACACCGGAACUGAGACACGGUCCGGACUCCUACGGGAGGCAGCAGUGGGGAAUAUUGGACAAUGGGGGCAACCCUGAUCCAGCCAUGCCGCGUGUGUGAAGAAGGCCUUUUGGUUGUAAAGCACUUUAAGCAGGGAGGAGAGGCUAAUGGUUAAUACCCAUUAGAUUAGACGUUACCUGCAGAAUAAGCACCGGCUAACUCUGUGCCAGCAGCCGCGGUAAUACAGAGGGUGCGAGCGUUAAUCGGAAUUACUGGGCGUAAAGCGAGUGUAGGUGGCUCAUUAAGUCACAUGUGAAAUCCCCGGGCUUAACCUGGGAACUGCAUGUGAUACUGGUGGUGCUAGAAUAUGUGAGAGGGAAGUAGAAUUCCAGGUGUAGCGGUGAAAUGCGUAGAGAUCUGGAGGAAUACCGAUGGCGAAGGCAGCUUCCUGGCAUAAUAUUGACACUGAGAUUCGAAAGCGUGGGUAGCAAACAGGAUUAGAUACCCUGGUAGUCCACGCCGUAAACGAUGUCUACUAGCCGUUGGGGUCCUUGAGACUUUAGUGGCGCAGUUAACGCGAUAAGUAGACCGCCUGGGGAGUACGGCCGCAAGGUUAAAACUCAAAUGAAUUGACGGGGGCCCGCACAAGCGGUGGAGCAUGUGGUUUAAUUCGAUGCAACGCGAAGAACCUUACCUGGUCUUGACAUAGUGAGAAUCCUGCAGAGAUGCGGGAGUGCCUUCGGGAAUUCACAUACAGGUGCUGCAUGGCUGUCGUCAGCUCGUGUCGUGAGAUGUUGGGUUGAGUCCCGCAACGAGCGCAACCCUUUUCCUUAUUUGCCAGCGGGUUAAGCCGGGAACUUUAAGGAUACUGCCAGUGACAAACUGGAGGAAGGCGGGGACGACGUCAAGUCAUCAUGGCCCUUACGACCAGGGCUACACACGUGCUACAAUGGUAGGUACAGAGGGUUGCUACACAGCGAUGUGAUGCUAAUCUCAAAAAGCCUAUCGUAGUCCGGAUUGGAGUCUGCAACUCGACUCCAUGAAGUCGGAAUCGCUAGUAAUCGCAGAUCAGAAUGCUGCGGUGAAUACGUUCCCGGGCCU
rnacentral:rRNA from 1 species